ACUGCAAGAAUGAUCUUCUGUUUUACUCAUUUUCUUCAGUAGAGGGAGCUUGAGUCUACAGCAAAGAGAUGCUUGCUUCGUUUCGACACGUUCUCCCCAGCCCAUCAUCUUUAGCAUACUUCAUUGCCGUGGAUAUUCGCAGAUCCAGUUGAUGGGCAGCUCAUUUGUUGUGAUGGAAGAAACCUUGAAGAACUCCCUGCUACCCACUUAUUUUCAAGGCAUUCAUAGCUAUCAUUCCCAAGAACAUCUGAAAACAACGGGAUGGCAUCACCCUCCAGCUCCCCCUUCCCUGGCUCUCUCAAGAAGCUCUGUGUUGUAUUGUCAGUGUUUU
rnacentral:lncRNA from 1 species